CUGCUUCUGUUUACGGUACUUGCCGAGUGACGAAUCAUGACGAAUAGCGCUGACGCAAAAAAACAAUGGAGAUAGACUUCUGUAUAGUAUUCUGUAAUAUGAGCAUCCGUACAGUGUAGAAUCUUCAACAAAAAUGAAUUUAAAGUUUGUGGGAAAUUUGUUUAUAACAGUGCAGUUUUUAUAAAAAUGUUUUAUUUAAAUAUCUUCAAAACAAUGAAAGGGUCCAGGUUUAAAACCUUGUGGAACACCACAUUGAAACGUUUAAACAUUGGACAUGUUUUUUCAAGGAAAGAUUUUGCAAGACAAUCAUGAAUAGCGAGCAAAAAAUUUCAUAAAAAGACAAGCUCAUACAUAUUUCUCCCUUUGCUAUAAACCAUUGCAGAAAUUUAUGUCAUGUUUUGUCCAUUACAGUCUGUAGAAAUAGGCAAUUAGAUAUUUACAGAAUGAUUAGACAUAUUGACUUGGUACUUUACUAAAUGGUCAAUCAAAUACCUGGCUUCUAUAGUGUACGAGAAAAAGUUGCUUCGUUUAUAAACAUG
rnacentral:lncRNA from 1 species